rnacentral:lncRNA from 1 species
UUUUUUUUUUUUUGCUUUUGGAAAAAAACAUUUUGUUGACGAAAAUUAUUUUUCUUUUAUAAACGUCCUUAUUUCAUUUCAUUUAUUGAAACCUAUACUAAUAACAGAAAAUUUGACAAAAGCCAAACUUGUUAAACUAUUCUCUCGUGCAAUCCUUUAUAUAAACUUAAAACUCAUCAAAUUAUGAAUUUCGAAGACCAUAAGCGAGAGCGUCAUCAUAAUUCUUUUUUUCCAUAAACUGUCUCGUUUCAGCAGUAUCAUCGAAUUUCCGGAAAAUCUUUUACGUGUUGCAUUCGACAAAGAACAUGAAAUUAAUUUCUACACUAAGAAUCAUGUUUGAAAAGAUUAAACUAUUUAAGAACAUGAUAUUAUAUUAAACCACUGCAGAAAAAGUUAUACGUUGCAUGUACCUACAGCAGUUGGAAGUUGGAACAUGCGGAGAGUGAUUAAACAACUUAUGUAUAUUACAAGGAAAUAGUGAAUAGUAAUGAUCUUAGUGUUCAGUUUAGUGCUCGACCUUUGAGGAACAGUUAUCAAGACGUAGAAUGGAUUAAUUCCAAUCUACUGUAUUAGUAGCACAAUGUAAGUAUCGAACAUUUGCUCGUUUGUGAUUACUUUUAUCUCAAAUAAUAUAAUCCUACCGUUUCGUCACUUAGACUGAAUAAAUGGGAUUCUAUGUAUUAUUUUUUAAAGAAAAAAGGAGUAAAAUUAGAUUGAAUAAAUUUUAAAAUGUAAUUGGAAACAAUUAAUGAAUGUGAGCAUAACCAUUUUAGAUGAUAAAACAACAGAAGUUAAAGAAGUCCAAAUAAAAAAAAAGUUAACAAAGAACGGCCAAGGAGGAGUAUAACAACCACUCUUUCAUAAAAAGGUUGAAUGAAAGUUGAAAAAAUUGUAGGUAUAAAGUUGAAAAAGCAUGCAAGCAUCUUCCAAAUUCUUAAGUCUCUCCGCACCAAACUUUGCUCAUUUGCACAGCCCAUCCCAUCUGCCGUCCCACACUGCAAAAGUGCCUAACUAUCCUCUAAAAUUACAAAUGGACCACAACACAACUCAUUUUUCAACAUUGAUUUCAACAAUUUACUCCUUAUUUAAUUCCAUAUGUUCCCUAUUCGUGGGUAAGUAUCCAUAUUAUAUAGUGAGGUUCAAAUCCGAUUUUAGUCUCCUGAAUUGGAACUCCCAAGCAUAUCACCACCUAGCAUGUCGCCAUUCUGUGUGGAGUCUUAAUUAGUAAGUGCAUUUGACUUCAUUGACUCUCUUCGCACCUCCCACGUUCAUGUAAUUAUCUUUAAAUUUUCGAAUUAUUCAUUACUAAAUACAAUCAAGGUCUUAAAAAAUAGCUAGUUUAUGACAUACGUUGCUUCUAAUACUAGUAUAUGUAAAGCUUUAUCGUACAAAUCAAUGAAUCAAGAUACAAAUAUUUAAAUAUUAGUAUGUAAUGCGAGUUAAUUAUCAACUGUACUAGUUAUACUCAGUGAUUUAACGACACAUUCGACUAAUUAAUUUGCCAUAUAUGUAGAUCAACCCGAAUCUCAACUACAUGUUGAAUUUUACUUGUUCUGUUUUGCAACAAAUUGAGAGAUCAUUUAUUUUAUAUGAUUAAUCUUUUAUAAACUGACAGUGUAUACUCUCUUAUUAUUGAGUGCAUGACAGCUCAUUUUAAUUUAAAUUUUGAUCAUGUGCCACAUAUUCAACUGUAAUAGUGUAUACAUUAUUAGUGUAUAUAAAAUUAGCUCUAUUUCAUAUUAUACAUAAGUGAGUCAAAAUAACACGUCGAGAAAGCUUUAGUUUAGUAUCUAGAAUUAAGACAAUAAAAAAUAGAGGUAUUGGAUAAAAUUUCUUCUACCUUUCUUUAAAUCAUACCCUUCUCUUGCUUCACAAUUCAAGAUAACAAAUUUGAAGAAAUUUUAACUCCUCCAACUGAAGAAAUUAACAAAUUUGAUUAUUAUUGGCAAUAGCUGAAGAAACAAGAAAAGUAACUCCUCCAACUGUAAUUCUUUAAAUCUUAAAAUUUUCCUUCUGGGGUCAAACCCUAAUUAUUGUGAGUUCGAAAGCUACUUACAUUCCUCUCGGUUUCGUUUCCUCUCUCCUUUUCUCUCUCACGCACGCACACACACACAGAGCAGACACACACUUUCUCUGCGUACAUUCAUCAGUCUUAUGCUCUAUAAAUUCACAUGUAUGACACUACUAUUAUUCUACUUCCUUUUCUGUAAUUAAAUAGAGAAAUUAAUUAAUUACCACAUAACUGUAUGUACAUACACGUAUUUAUAUAGCUCUCAUAAGUGUGUGUUGUGGGUGUGAAGAAGAUCUAAACUCAUCAAUCAAAAGGGUCACUUUCCUUGCCUCUAUCAUUUCCUAACGGUACGUCACUCAAUUUUUUAAAUUUUGUGUAUAUUUUUCUUUGAAUUUAGUUACAUUAAAAUGGGUUUUAUUUAUGAUAGCGGUGCAUUAAGAUCUGUUGAGUGAUCUGAAUAGGAUUUAGAUCUGAUUUUGGAACAAUGCAAUUGUACUUAAUUUUGGGGGUAUUGGGGAUUUUGGAACACUUUUAGUGAUGUUGAUUUAGGAGUUUAUGGAUCUGUUGAUUGAGUGGUGCAAUUAUACUGUGCCAUUGAUCUGUUAAGUUAAUCUCACUCUGGUUUUUUGACUAAUUAGCUGUUUCGCGUACUAAUUAGGGUCUUUUUUAAUAAUUAAAAAAAGAACUUUUGAAUUUGGUUGGUAAUUACAGAUUCUGGUUGCUGAAUUAUUGUCAAUUGCCCACUUUGGUAGAGUUUAAAUGCAAUGAAGAGGAUUCCAUUUUUGGAGUGAAGAAAGAAAUUUCUGUAUAACUAUUGGUUCUGACACUGUUUUGGGUUUUAAGGGGCAAUAGAUUUAGGGUCGAAUUCAGUUUAAAAAUUAAGUUUUGCUAAUGCUUUGUUUGCAAUCUUGAACAAAUUUCAGGUGUGGAAGCUGGAAGGAUUGAAAAGGUGGUUCUUUGAGCUUUAAUGCGGGCUGUUAGGGGAUUUGCUCUGGUGCUCGAGAGUUAGCAGGUCUCGUGUCACCAGUUGUUGUAGAGGGAAAAGAAAAUGGCUCCAGCUAGCAAGGCAGAUAAGAAGGCUGCAGUUGACGCAGCAGCAUGGCUGUUCAAUGUAGUGACGUCAGUUGGGAUUAUCAUUGUCAAUAAAGCCUUAAUGGCUACAUAUGGUUUUAGUUUUGGUAAAGUUUUCAUCUUUGUCUUUGUCUUACCAUUUUGGUUCUCCAAUUUCUAGACUUUUAGCAAAAUCCUUUUGGUAGUGAGUGAAGUUAGCUAUAUGUUUAUACUAUAGAUGCAUCUAAUUAUGAUUGCCUUGUCCGUAACUGGCUAGAAUAUGGUGAAGCAAAAUAAUAUCUAUGAACUGUGUUUAAUUGGCGAUUGAAGUCAUUUCACUGGUGCUCUUUAAUCUUUUGUUAUUAACAUUCUCCUUCGUUUUCAUGUAAACAAUGUCACAGCAUUCUAUGUUUUGGAACAAUGUAAUAGAAACUGGUAUGAUUUAGUUUAUUUUGUGAAGAUCUUAAGCCCAAAGUCAAUGUCUCGCUAUCCUGUGUGAGUGAAUAAAACAAACCCCAAGCACUGACUUAACUAUUGCCUACUCCCUAUUGCCUUCUUUGGACGCAUGAACUCAUAAGUUGUUUGAUUGCACUGACCCUUUUCUUUUUAAAUGGUUGUUCUGGCUCUUAAUUGGUACAAUCUGUGCAGCUACAACAUUAACUGGUAUGCAUUUUGCUACUACAACAUUGAUGACGGCUGUACUUAGGUGGCUGGGUUACAUCCAAUCUUCACAUCUACCUUUUCCAGAGCUUCUGAAAUUUGUCCUAUUCGCAAACUUCUCAAUUGUGGGAAUGAAUGUCAGUUUGAUGUGGAACUCCGUAGGAUUCUAUCAGGUAUUUGUGAUUAGCUCCAUUUUGGAGACUGUUCACUGAUAACUUUACUGUACGUUGGAGAUGACCUCUGAUAAUUGACUGAAUGACAUAAAUUUUGUUCUUGUCAGAUAGCAAAGCUGAGUAUGAUCCCUGUUUCCUGCUUAUUGGAAGUUGUAUUUGACAAAAUUCGAUAUUCAAGAGAUACAAAACUCAGCAUUGCUCUUGUCCUCCUGGGUGUUGGCGUCUGCACAGUCACUGAUGUUAGUGUCAACACUAAAGGAUUUGUUGCUGCCUUUAUUGCAGUUUGGAGUACUUCUCUGCAACAGUAUGUAAGUUGUUUAUUCCUCUGCUCAAUUCUGUAUGUAAGGUUGUAUGAUGUCUUGAUCGUUCAUCUGGUUAAUGCAACAUUAGAUCAUGCAGUCCUCAUGAUUAUCAGUCCUGGUGAUAUGAUGAAAGGUUUAUUAAAGAGUAAAAAAAAAAAAAAUUUAAUGCAAUUCGUCUAUUAUAGUUAGUAGAUGCCCUACUAAUAUCCUACACCAGAUGCAUAAAGCAUGUGACAUCUCUUUGCUCCCCUGUCCAUCUGAAAAUUUUUCUGAAGAAAUGCAGAGUACAAAUCCUACAAUUUUAUGUAAUUAACCCCCACAAUUAUGUAUUUUUAAAGUUGUUUUUGGUGCUUAUAGUUAUAUUAUUUAUAUUUAAAAGAAAAAAAUACUGUUUGGUGCUUAAUCUUUUAUUUGUGCAUCUGAAAUGCUUGGAACCUCAGGUUAAUCUAAGAACUUGACUUUCUUAUGCAGUAUGUUCAUUUCCUUCAACGGAAAUACUCUCUUAGCUCAUUCAAUCUUCUAGGACAUACAGCACCAGCCCAGGCUGCAUCUUUGCUGCUAGUAGGCCCAUUUCUAGAUUAUUGGCUGACAAACAAGAGGAUUGAUGCCUUUAACUUCACUGUACCGUCUUUGGUAAGUCUUUGUGCCCGAUGCUCAAUAUUAACUGUGAUCAUCCUAGUUUCUCCUAUGGUUAUACUUAUCUUACAUUUUCCUUCUUAAUUAGAUGAUAAAUAUGUGCUUUAAUCUUCGGAACCUUGGAAGUCGCAUUGCUGCUGAUGCAUCUAAUUUUGCUUAUUGUACUCAACUUUUGGCAUGCUAUACAAAUGGUAAUUUCAUGCUGGAACAGGUUUGAUUGCACUAAAAGUAUGAUAUACUGGAAAUGAGCUACUGGUAAUAGUUCACUGUUUGCAAAAUAGUGCAUCAUGCCCUGCUAAAAAACCUUUUGUAUAUCUUGCCCGAUGUCUGUUCAAUAUUUUCCACAUGUUCAACCCCUUUUUUGUUUUACAGACCUGUAUUUCACCACAUGUCAUGCUUAGAAGGAAAAAGAAUUCUGCCAUAUAUGAUGAACUCUUAUUUGUUUUUAGAGUUUGUAAUACGUUUGUAAAUUGUUAUAUGACAUAGGAUAGUGGAUUCACAGACUUAUAGGAGUGACAGAUCUGCACAAGAUGUUGACAUGAUGAGCUGUCCCAUUUUAAUUUUGCCAACUGUGGGAAAGAUACAUAAUUUAUUUGUUUAUUUUUUAAAUUUUCAAACUUCUUUUCUUUUUCCCUUCAUAUUUUUUGAAUAUAAUAGCAUGGUUUGUGGAUAGCCAGGCACACUGCUUUUUCUGCUCUUAGUCACGCACACUACUUUUUCUGCUCUUAUUCUCAUUCUGUUUGUCUGUUUGAUCUUAACUUCUUUUUAAUGGCAUUUUAAUUUGUAAACCUUAUAAUUGUUGUCACAUUUAUUUGUCCCAAUUACAGCUUUUUUUUCCCUUUAAUUUGUUUAUCAUAACAUAAGGAUGCCUUUUCUUGAGGUGCUUGUUCAUUUUAAAGUGUUUCCUCACACUAUUUUGUCUUUGGGCUUCUUCUCAGGUGUUUAUAGUCCUUUCAUGCACUAUUGCAGUUGGAACAAAUCUGAGCCAGUUCAUCUGCAUUGGCAGAUUUACUGCUGUCUCAUUCCAGGUUCUUGGCCAUAUGAAAACCAUUCUCGUUUUGAUCCUGGGGUUCUUAUUUUUCGGGAAAGAGGGUCUUAAUUUACAUGUGGUCAUUGGCAUGAUUAUUGCUGUCGUUGGAAUGGUAUGGUAUGGCAAUGCUUCUUCCAAACCAGGUGGAAAGGAGCGUCACAGUCAUUCAUCUCGAAGCAGCCAGCAGAAGCAUGGUUCAGAAUCUUCUGAAAUUGAUGAGAAAGUCUGAGCGUUUUCUUCUUUGCAAAUUGAGUAUACAAGGAUAGCCCAUACAGAGAAUUUUUCAGUCGUCUGACUCUAGAUACACAAGUCUAAAAUCCAUCAUUGUGUAGUGUUUUCUGAAUUUUGUAAUUCUUAUAUAUUUCUUAAUGAUGUCAAAGUCCCUUGAAGCUUGUAAGGGAUACUUGGUAGAGGGCUUAGAUCACCCCUGGAUCUUCCUGUUUUGAUUGCUGAUCAUAAUUUAUAGAAAUUAUUUUUUCUUGGUGCCAAUACAUAUUUCCUCUCGAUUGCAUAUUCCUGAGACUUGUCAUUAUUUCUAUUACAAAGGUGCGCAGAUUUUGUUAGCUUGAACUUGAAAGUUAUACUUAGCAGCCGUCAAAUAUAAAGCAUUGAAAGUUAAUGAACUGUGCAAGGAAGAGAUGCAUUGGAACUGUUCACCUAAGGUGUGAUUUAGCUUUUGCCCAAUCUUCUGUGGUUUGUCUCGGAUGUUCAAAGAAGCUUGUUGCAUUUUGCCUAGCAAUCGAUAUUUCUUGUUGCUUUCAUGCUGAAAGAUAGUUGAUAUUGUAGAGUACACAAUACACAUAUGAAGCACUGUUACAUCAAGCAAGCCUACCCUCUCCAGCAUACCAUUAUUUUCCAGGUUUUAUGCCCUUCAAGCUUCAUAAAGUGGAAGACAAUAGAAAAACUAGCCCAUGAGACAGAUUAAUGUCAAGAAAUCCUAAGCCAGCUGAAAAUCACCAUGAAGGUGCUUAGGCAGUGCUUGUGCACCCAUUGAUAAAAGACUAGAAAUCAUGUGCAUGGUUGGCCUUGAUUGAGGAUCAACAGUCAGACAGGCCCUUGCAAGCUUGAGAAUUGAUACUAGAGUCUCUUCAUCUUCCUGACCGGGAUACGGAAGUCGUCGGUCAAGCAAGUCUUUCAGUUGGAUGUUUACAGAUGUGGGCGAUGUAAGGUGAGGAAUGAAGUCACCAGGAUGGCUCCCUUUGAUUACUUCAAGGGUUAGGACCCCAAAGCUAUACACAUCACAUUUUUCAGUUUCUCUCAUUGUGUAGGCAAGCUCUGCAAGGCAAAAUCAUGUCAUCAUUAACUUUGUGAUCAUGCUGUAAUUUACUUCUUGAAUGGUUCAUAAGAGAAAAAAAAAACUAUAUUACCUGGUGCAACAUAUCCAUAGGUGCCUGCUACUGCACUCCAAUUAGACGAGUCUAUCUUCCGAAGCUUCGCCGUGCCAAAAUCUGAGACAUGAGCUUCAUACUCUGAAUCAAGCAAAACAUUGUUGCUUGAUAUGUCUCGAUGAACUAUAGGCGGCGAACAAUCAUGAUGCAUGUAAGACAAAGCAUGAGCAAUGCCCUUAAUGAUUUUUAUCCUUUUCUGCCAAUCCAAUUUCUUAGCUUCUUCUUCAAUGCUCAAAAGUUUAGCCAAGCUGCCUCUUUCAAGGUACUCAUAAACCAAAAACGAGUAUUUAGCACUUGAGCAGUAACCCUGAAGCUUCACAAUGUUUCGAUGCCUGAUCUUUGUCAAGGCCCUUAUCUCCUUCAAGAAACCUUCUUGAUCUGCAGACUCAGACAAGUGGUGGAGUCUCUUUACAGCCACUGUGUUAACUGGUGGAAAAUUUGCCUUGUAAACACUUCCAUGACCUCCUUUCCCUAUGCAAAAUGUUGGAUCAAAAUCCUGUGUCACUUUUAAGAUGUUCUCAUACAUUUCUUUGCCAUCAAAUAGGGAUAUAGAGAACACAUCUCCACCCUUUACAUCCCCGUCUUUCACUUUUGGAUCUCUCUUUCUUUUUUCGUAAAAAAAGAGAAUUCCAGCAUACGCAGAAAGAAGCAUGAGUGCUCCCACAAGAGGGAGCGCAAUUAUGAGAGCAAGUUUCUGCCCAUUCUCAUGCUUUUUGAACAAUUGAGGACUAUCACACGGUCGUACCCCUGUAAUGUUGCCACGCAAACCUUUAUUCCCUUUAAGUUGUUCAAUAGUGGCAUUUGCAAAUGCUUUUCCACAAGGAAUUGGACCCUCUAACUCAUUGAAAGAUAAAUCAAUAUGCUGAAUACCAGGCAAUUCUGCCAAAGCCUUUGGAAUGAAACCUGAAAGGUUAUUAUGGGAGAGAUUCAACGUUUCCAGACUUUUCAAACUUCCGAAUUGAGUUGGUAUCUCUCCGAUGAGGGAAUUGUGGCUCAAAUCAAGACGGUUAAGGUGAAUUAACUUACCCAACCGGGAUGGAAUACUGUGGCUUAAACUAUUGCUGCUCAAGUUCAAAAAGGUUAGUUGCUGGCACUCUCCUAUGCUUCCUGGAAUCGAUCCAUUUAAUAAGUUCACUGAUAGGUCGAGAGAGAAUAGAUCUGUCAGUGAUCCUAACUCUAGAGGUAUACCACCCGAGAGUUGGUUGUCAUUUAAAAGCAGCCAUAGCAAGGACUUCAGCUUCCCAAGUUCCUUUGGAAUCUGCCCAGCUAUCUGAUUUGAAGAAAGAUCAAGGACGCCCAGCUUAGGCAGAUUCCCAAAUUCUGGAGGAAUGUGACCUGUGAUGCUGUUAUUUGCGAUUAAAAGAGUUGUCAAGUUUUUGCAUCUACACCAGUUGCUUGAGAGCUCCCCAGAAAAGCUGUUGUUGCUAAGCAAGAUAAAUUCAAGGUGUGGAUAAAUACCAAACGAUUCAGACAGGUCCCCAGUGAACUGGUUCCCAUCAAAUCGAGCUCUGACUAAACUUGCACAGUUUUUCAAACUUUCUGGAAUUGGACCAGAAAGGCUGUUAUUGUUGACAGUGAAGUCUCGAAGAGUUUGACUGCUACAUAGCCCUUCUGGUAAAUGACCGGAGAACUGAUUUUCAUCCAUUUCCAAGACAACCAACUUUGUCAGUUUCCCUAGCUCUGGGGGAAUGGAGCCAGAAAGUUGGUUAUCGCGAAGAAACAGAGUUUCCAAUUCUAUCAAAUUGCCAAGUGAAGUAGGAAUCAACCCGUAAAGUUGAUUCUCACUUACUUCGAAUUCGACCAGAGACUUCAGGUUGCCUAACUCUUCCGGGAUUGAACCAGAAAGUUGAUUCCGAUAUAGAUGCAAAAGAGUCAGAUCCCUCAGGUUACCUAGUGAAGUUGGGAUUGGACCAGUGAGCUUAUUUCCCCAUAGGCUCAGACUCUGGAGUUUUUUCAACUUUCCUAUCUCAGGAGGAAUGGAACCAGAUAGGCCGUUUUCAAAAAGAUGCAAAAGCAGUAGGUUAUUCAGGUUACCAAUCGAGGCUGGAAUAGGGCCUGUCAGCUGGUUGUUGUCGAUGUCAACCUCAACAAGAUUGUUGAGGUUUCCAAUUUCACGAGGAAUAGAACCUGAAAGUUGAUUUUCAUAGAGAUAUAAAUAAUUCAAGUUUUUCAGAUUGCCAAAGGAGGCAGGAAUAGGGCCCGUAAUGUUGUUUGUACACAAGGCAAGCUCAACGAGAGACCUUAACUGGCCAAUCUCCUGAGGAAUUGCGCCAUUUAAGUAGUUCUCGUUCAAGUGGAGGGUUUGAAGGUUGGUUAAGAGGCCAAUUUCUGGUGGGAUGGUUCCAGAGAAUUUAUUAUAGGACAAAUCAAGAUAACUGAGCUUCGAAAGCUUGCUUACUUGAGGAGGUACGCUGCCAGAAAGUUCAUUCAUGCUUAAAUCAGCCUUUUCAAGAUUUGGAAGAGAUGAAAAUGGAAAGCUGUAAAGCGUACCAUUGAUACUUGAAUGUGUGAGGUUUAACGUGCUUACACUGCCAUCAAUGCACGACACACCGAACCAAGUGCAAGGGCUGACACUUGCUUUUAGAUGAUUACGAGUGUUUUGAAGAUUCCAAGAUGUUAGGAGGGUGUUGUUCAGGUUUGAAAAACUGGCUUUCCAUUUCAAAAGGGCUUCAGCCUCCUCAACAGAAGCUGAAGCAAAUUGGAGAGCCAAAACUGAGAUAAGCAGGAGCAGAAGAAGUUCGAACGAUGGGUUUUGAUGAUUAGCUAAAGAACCCAUGAUUUUUUUUUUUUUGUGAUUUUUCUAUGUUGAACUAAAAAUGGCUUAAAGUGUACACAAUUUAUACUGGAGAUAAAGCUACUUGGAGACCCCACCCCACCAUUGCAACACUAGACUCUGAGGUCUUUCCACGGUUUCUUCCAGCCAUAAAGACUGUUCAAUAUAACAUGGACAUGCUUGUCAAGUUUUAGGAGACUGGAGUCGACUUGAGUGUGUUUCACUUCUCAAGUCAAGCCAAUUUGUCCUUUUAAGAAAGUCAAGCAAAAGUUCUAAUUGAUACCAUUAAUAUUGGAGUCUUUGAAAGUGAAGAACAAGUAAAUUGAUCACUAUCCAGCUAAAGAAAGAGCAAUUACGAUAGGUAGCGCCCUAAAUAUUGCUUUUUUUUGCACAGUGAGCAUUAAGGUCCAUCAAGAAUAGCAUUUCAUGCCAUCUUUUUUAGAGAAAAGGAAAAAUUACACUUUAUCCCUUGUGGUUUAGUAUUUUUAUAUAUAACCCCCUUAUAGUUUCAAAAGUUAUACAUAACCCCUUCAUGAUUUGGAUUAAAGUGUUAAAGUGACGGAAUUUGCAAUCCAUAACGGAGUCAUCUAAAAUGUCAAAAAUACCUCUAUGUAAAGUUGAGAAUUAUUUCUUAACUACAGGGGGGUUAUGUGUAUAUUUUUAAAACCAUAAGGGGGUUAUAUGGUAAAGUAUAAAAUCAUAAAGGGGUUAUAUGGUAAAAUAUAAAAUUAUACAUGGUUAGUGUGUUAUGUAUAUUAUAUUUAUAUAUCUUGGUCAUUUCAACCAUUUUAAUUUUUAAACAAGCAUAAUUUCGAUAUUUUAAUAGGUUUCGUUAUGAACGAUCAUUUCCGUCACUUUGACGCUUUAAUUAAAUCAUGAGGGGAUUAUGUAUAAUUUUUGAAAUCAUAUAAGGGUUAUGUACGAAAACACUAAACCAUAGGCGGAUAAAGUGUAAUUUGCCCUAGAGAAAAAAAAUACUCUUUUUUCUCCUAAUUCCUUGAGUUUAUCUAAAAUCUUUUUAUCACUGGGUGUAAGUGGUGAAACUUCUCAAGUCAACCUGAUCUUAACUCUUGAUGGUUCUCGGCAAUUUCCUUUAGCUCUAAAUGGCUCAAUAGCCAAUAGGUGUAGAUUUGUAAUCGAUGAGAAAUCGGGUCCCUGAAAAUGAAAAUGAAAAUGAAAAUGGAGUUGUGUGGAACCCAAAAGACUUGGUCAGAAACAUUGGCAAAAAGGCCAUUUUUUCCGUCACUAAAAAUGAUAUUUCUAACUUCAUAAUAAAUGGAAAUUAAUAUUCUUGACUCUUUCAACAGAAGAUGCUUCUUGGUCUGUGCCAAUACAAAUUAAUGCUUCAUAGACUCUUCGGUCAUCAAGCCAUAGGAGUUCACUAACUUGUCCAGAGGAUUUCCGAGAAAUGGUGUAAAACAAUGUCAGAUUUACGCUGAAAUUUAAAGACACAAAUUGAAAUUCUUACCAAUUUCGUUGAUUUAUUUUUGGAUGAAUUUUUUGGAAUUUAAGAUGAUCAAACUUCUGAAAUCCGUUAAUCUGUAGUCAUUCCAAAAUUCUCCACGUAACUAAAUUUGUUAUAUUUCUAUGGAAGUUCUCAUAACAGGUGAGCUGGAAUGAAAGAAAUAAAGUAAACCAAUUCAUUUGCUGGCUCCUAGAAAUUGACUUUGCGUACGAUUUAUUUUAUUUUAUUUUUUAUUUUAUUUUUUGUCGACACAGGGGUGUCCGGGUCAAUCCUUACGGGACCCGAAUAAUCCCCUGCGGCCCGGGUCCGACGCCCCAGCUCGGCCCAAGCACGAUAUGUGCGUAGAGGAAUCCAGCUCUUUGCGAACGAUUCAGCCUUUCGCUUUAUUACUAUCUAUAAAACCCUGUGUGUUACUUCCAUGCUUGACUUGUCCACCUUUCUUUCCUGUUUAACAGCAUUAUUGUUUUGCAAAUUAAAAAAGUGUAACAUUUAUGAUUUAAGGAAAAUGUUAUCAUGAGUGUAUAAAAUAUUUGACAUGACACAAUAGUAUGAAUACAUUUUUUUUUUCGGUACAGGGGUAUCCUGAAAUCACCCAGACUAAAUUCCCUGCGGCAGAGCAGAGCCCACCCCUUAGGAUGCCUAGUGCGUUAAUUCGGGGAGAAUCGAGCCGUGGUCUGUAAAGAUAGAUGACACGAUCAGAUGAUCUGCACCCCGAGGGGCUAAUAGUAUGAAUACACGGUGGUAUAGUAUCUUCAUAGUUUAGAAAAAUUUGAACAUCUUUUAGAUCUAUGACUUCUAAGUACAAGUAUUGCAACAAGAUGUUGAGAAUCAAAACUUGAUAGAAUUUGUAUUUCGGGGUAUAAAAUCACCUGCAAAGCAGGUGAGAUAUUAAUAGUAACUAUAAAGGCUUGGAAGCGAAAACAAGGAACAAAACGACUUGUUGGAAAUCUUUCUCUAGAUCGUGCAUUUCUGCUGAGGUUACAUUAGUUUCCUGAAUACAAAACUAUAUUGCAGGAUGCUUUCUGGGACUAAUUUGGCUGAGUUAUUGAUGUAUCGAAUUUUGUAAUCCACAAUUCUUGCUACGGUCAAAGUGGAAUCGUCUCUUCCAAUAACCAAUAUGAGAAUGAGAACUAAAAGGAGGCCUUAGGAUUUGUGGAAUAAGUAUACACUGGUUUUCAUCCAAUCAAAAUGGUUCCUACUGUCUGAAUUCUUCCAAGAAAUUUGGUUGCCAAUCAUCUGUGUUUCAUGGCUUUUUUCUUUUCUAUUACGGCAACUUAUAUUUUACUAUCCAUGUGAAUUCGUUUCAAGUACUUCUUGUUGUGUUGGGGAAAUACCGUCUACUUGCUUCUGAUACUUAGUUAUGUUCAAUGCUUCAUUUAGGAUACUUCAACUUAUUUCAGGGAAUGUUUUUCUGAAUUCUUACACGGGUUUUAAGAUUUCCUAAUCCUAGAUCAUUCUGGAUGAUAAUUCAGGAAAUCUAGAGUAAAGAUUGGACAGAUCCUUUGUCAGCACAACCACAUAUUUCCAAUGGGAUUGUUGGUUUCCAAGAGAGCAUUCCGCCUGUCAAGAUUACAUUAAUAUAUCUUGAUCAAAAUUUCCAGUUUGAGCCAAGGAUUCUUUAAGAUUUGUUUAAGAAUGAAAAUUGGUCUUUAUAUAAGUAGUGUGCUGACAAAUUUUCACACAGGUUUCGAUUUUUUAUUCUUCAGUGAAAAGUCUGGAAAAAGAAAUGGAUUCUAUUCUAGCAAAAUUUGCUGAUUCACCACACAUCUCUGAUAUUGCUGAUGGAAAAAGGGAAAGCCCGUUUCUCCCUUGGACAUCGCUGCAAUUUCUGAAGCAGCAUAGUACCAGAGUGAAGCGUUUGAGGGAAGCUCUGAUAGACCAAUUGAUACUUCUUACCAUCAAGACUUGUCAACUGCUAGCAUUAUGAAGUUAGCAAAAGCCCAACUACUUGAGCUCAAUUACCAGAAGACUGAUGUUCUCUCCUAUGUGGGCUGUCGUUUUGGAACUCAAAAAGUCUCAACUAUGAGGUUCCUGGAGACUUGGAACUUGCAUUAGUGCUUCAAGCAAGUGCUUCAACCCCAUUCUGAUAACCGUUGUUGGGAUCUAGACGAGGAACAAACAACUAUUGAUACGUCAAGUACACAACAAUUUAAUGAAAAACAAAUCACAAGCAUAAAACAUAAACGAUACACAAGAUAUAACAGAUAUAACGUGUUUCAACUCCAACAUUGAGCCUAUUAUAAAAUAAUAAAGCCUAUACAAAUAUAGAAUUUUAACUCAAAUCCAAUUCUUGUAUAAUUUCUCUCACUUCCUAUGAACCUCUCUCGCUCCAUGUAAAGAUUGCAUGGUUUCCUUGUGUGCCAUUUUGGAGUAUGUCAACCCCUACCUAGUAAAUAAUUGCUAAUUCCUAAACUUAUAUAGAAUAGGAAAUAAUUUCUAACUUAUACAGAAUAAGAAAUAAUUUCUAAUUUUUAGACUCAAACUCAUACAAAUAGGAAAUUUCUUGACUAUUACUUCAAGUAACUAAAUCAAUAAGGAAAUCAGUUGCCUCCGCACAAAAUAAGAAAUCUACAUAAAAGAAAUUAAACCAAUUUCCCAACGCUUUCUGCCUAGAAGUGCCACAAUGGUAAAGCUACAACUGCUGCAGGAUUUAAAAUUUAAGGAUUAUGUCUACGGGUGAAAUUACUAUACUGACUAACUGAUUGAGUGUCUUAAGCUUAAUAUGAAAACAUGUAUUCAAUCUUCUUUCGCUAUUUUCGAGUUUUUUGGUCUGACGAUAGCAAUGAGUAAGGGUAGGGGGGAAUCGGUGCUAGCAGUGAAAUCACAUACUUCCAGGAACUGCAUCAUGGUAGGCCUGUGAAUUGGACCGGAAAGCCUGUUGUCAUUGACUGUGAAGCCUUGAGAAUUGAUUUGCUACACAGCACUUCAGGUCGGACGCUUCCAGAAAAUUAAUCAAAGGACAAAUCUAGAUAAUUGAGCUUCAAAAGCUUGCAAUAUGAUGAGGCAGCCAAAAAGUUCAAUCAUGCUCAGGUCAGCAUAUUCAACAUUUGGAAGAGAUGAAACUGGAAAGCUGUACAGUGUACCAUCAACACUCAAAAGUACUUGUGAGUUCAAUAUGUUCACACUUUUAACACAAUGCAUGAUGCGCUGAGCCAGAAUGCAAAGGCUGACACUUUCGGAAGAUCAGAAGAAUUUGGAAAGUUCCAAGAUGCUAGGAGGGUAUUGUUUUGGUUUGCAAACUGGCUUUAUAAUUCAAAAGAGCUGUAGCUUCCUGAAGACAAGCUUUCUUGAGAGCCAAAACUGAGGUAUAUAGGAGCAAAACAUGUUUGAAGAAUGGCUUUCUAUGAUUAGCCGAAGAACCCAUGAAUCUUUUCAAUGUUUAACUGAAGCUGGCUGGAAUUAUUACUAAACGAUCCCACCAUUAUAAGACUAGACACUGAGAUUGUUCAACAUAACAAGAAUAUGCUUGUCAAUAUUCAAGGGACUGAAGUAGACUUGCCAAUUUGUCUUUCCGAGAGUCGAGCAAAAGUGGACAGUCAUACCAGUAGUAACCAAGGAGCAAAAGUGAACAACCGAGCUGAUGAGCGAGACUUGAACAAAAUAUUGCCCAAGGAAGAGCAAUUAAGAUAGACAGAUCCCUAAACACUAGGUCCAUCAAGAUCUGCAACUUGUGACAUUUUGUUUAUGGAAAAAAAAAAAACUCUUUUUCCCCUAAUUACUACAGUUUAUCUACAAUCUUUUGUAUUAACGAUUCAGUACAAUAGCUGAUACUUCCCAAGCCAACCUGAUCUUAAAAAUAUAUACUUCUAUUUAAAGAUUCACGAUGAUACUUCAAAAAAGUUAUCUGGGAAUGUUUUUGUUCACUAUCACUUGGCAUUUAAGAUUAUUAAUUCCUAGUUUAAUUCAUUGCGGAUAAUUUGAAAAGGCAAGUUCCGACUGAAUGUGUUUGGACUUUUAAUUCCUGGAGUAUUACUUUUCUAGGUUUCUCCCACCCGAAAGACGGCUUUUUUGUCAGGGCAACUAUAUAGUAUAUACUGCUCGCGGAUUUUUGUUGGCUCCUAAGAGAGCAUUCCACUUGUCAAGAUAACAGCUUUUGCCUCUAGUGAUCCACAUUUAGUUUGAGCAGAGGAAUCAUUUGUAAGAUGGAAUUUUCAGUGCUCUAAAUAGGUGGUUAGUUGAGAAAUUUUACAUAAAGCGAUCUCUGUUCUUUAUUAUUCUCAGUGAAAAGAUUACUGGAAAGACAUGGAUACAAGUCCAGCAAAUUAUGCAAAUUCAGUACCACAUAUAUCCAAUCUAGCUGAAGGAAAGAAGGAAAGCCCGUUUCUGCCAUUGACAUCGCUGGAAUUUCUGAAGCAACAUGGUACCAAAUUGAAGCGUUUGAGGGAAGGAAAUCUCAAUGAGCUGAGCUCUGAUACGCUGAUGGAUACUCCUGACCAUCCAGCUCUGUCAACUGCUAGCCUCAUGAAGGUAGCAAAAGUGCAACUACUUAAGUUCAACUCCCAGAAGAUUGAUGUUCUUUCUUAUGUGGCCAGUCGCAUUGGAACUCAAUCUGGUCUCCACUCUGAAGUUCCUGGAGACUUGGAACUUGCACUGCUACUUCAAGCUGCUGCCGAAAAGGUGGCCAAUCAACAAUAUGUGCAAGCAAGGAAGUUGCUCAUCUUGUGUGGUUGCUUUGCUUCUAAAAGUGGCAGUCCUGUCCAGAGAGUUGUGUAUUGUUUCGCUGAAGCUCUUGAAAAGAAGAUUGAACAAGAGUGGGGAAUAGCUCCAACAGAGGAACUGAUAGGGAAGCUAAGGAAGCCAUUGGACGAGAUGCUAGCCCAAGUUUAUAUGCAACCUGCAAUGAUGACAUCUCAACAGGAAAAACCCUUCACUCUUUUUACUGAGUUUACAGCAACAGAAUCCAUCUUGAAUGCUAUAGCAUCAGCAAAAAGGGUUCAUCUGAUAGAUUUUCAAAUUAACAAUGGAGCACACUGGACACUGAUUAUGCAAGCUUUAGCUGUCAGAUACGAAUGUCCCUUUGAACAUCUCAAGAUAUCGGCGGCUGGAACCUCUAAGAAGAUAAUGGAAGAGACUGGCAAGUGGUUGUCAUCUUUCGCUGAGACCCUCAAUUUGUCUUUUUCAUAUAAGAUGGUUGUAUCAGACCUGAAGGACCUCAGGGAAAAUUAUUUUGAGUUGGAAUUUGAUGAAGAGUUGGCUAUUUACUCGGACAUGCGUCCUUGGACUCAACUAGUAUGGCCCAAUCACUUGAAAGCUCUAAUGGGUGUAAUCAGAAAACUGAAGCCAAGAAUAGUGGUGGUCAAAGAAUUCGAGGCAAAUACAAAUGCACCAAAUUUCCCCGAGCGCUUUGAUGCCGCACUCCUUCUAUUCAGUGCAAUGUUUGAUUGUAUCAACUCUUGCAUGGAUCAUCACGUUUUGUAUAGAAAGAUGACUGAAGAAGUUAUCUUUCCACGUAUGGUUCAAAACAUUAUCGUGGCUGAAGGAAUGGAGAGGUUUCAACGACAAGAAAAAAUCGGUUUUUGGAGGAAGCUUUUCGCAGAGUUCGGAAUGGUUGAUAGGGUGCAUUUUAGUGGGAUAUUUCGGAUAGUAUU